GUAUCUAUGGUGUAGUGGUUAUCAUAUCCGCCUAACACGCGGAAGUUCCAAGGUUCUAAACCUGGUAGGUACA
rnacentral:tRNA from 1 species